GUGUGCUCUUCGGAUAUGGUGAACUAUGCCUGGGCAGGGUGAAGCCAGAGGAAACUCUGGUGGAGGUCCGUAGCGGUCCUGACGUGCAAAAUCGGUCGUCCGACCUGGGUAUAGGGGCGAAAAACUAAUUGAACCAUCUAGUAGCUGGCUCCCUCUGAAUAUC